CUGUCAUUGUAGUUGUGUUACACAAGCGUCUUAAAUGAUUGUUUUAGUCUGUAUGACUUUCUUCACAUCCUUCUUCGAUCGAAAAGCAACAUUUUAGUUAACGUCUCCACUAAAAUUAGUUUGUCAUUAAAAGAACCAAUAAUUAUAUGUUUACUAGCGGAAAAGUUAGAAAUUGCGGUGAAAUUGGACACUCGCAUAUCAGUACUCUACUCCGUGGUAGCAGAUUACUCGGAACAGUUGAGCGGGUUUGAUUCAGGAUUGAGUACUCAGAUGCAAAGUUUCCAAGACCAAAUGAACCAGAUACGAGCGGAUCUCAAGAGUGGUCUGACGCAAUUAGAAAAUGUUAAUAAUAAUGCUGAAACUGCGGGUAAGUGGAUCUAAAAGACAUUAGUUCUUUUUAUCAUACAUACAAAAUCCUGUUACGGGUCCGAGGUCUCCCGACAAUAAACAUCAUAACAAACCUCAGUCACGAGACUCGUUUG
rnacentral:misc_RNA from 1 species